UUGGAAGACACACACAGAGUCCCUCCUGUCAUACUCCGUGGUUCUGGUCGUUGCACGUCGAUGGCGUGUUGUAAGAUGGGCUAUGUUGAUGUGACCAUCUGCUACAAUAAUGUUACCUUCCCCAUUGGGCUGUUGUGAGGAGCUAAUUAAUUAGGCGAUUCUUGCAAGGAACUUCAACCAGUGCCUGAGAAGCUGACAAAAUGAGGAUAUGAAGUCUUGUCUCAUUUCAGGUCGCCAAAAGGAGCUCCUGACUCGCCGGCCCCUCCAGCCCUCAGCUUUGUUUUCUUUCUCACCCACCAGCACACCUUC